GUGUUGGUAGUGCAACGGCUCAGCACGCGCUCCCGGAAAGAGUGAGUAUGGGUUCGAUUCCAGCUAACGCA